rfam:TPA: Bos taurus chromosome 28, whole genome shotgun sequence.
UCCCUGGUAGCUCAGAUGGUGAAGAAUCUGCCUGCAGUGCAGGAGACCUAGGUUCGAUCCCUGGAUUGGGAA